rnacentral:rRNA from 1 species
UCGAGGAUCUUCGGCAAUGGGCGCAAGCCUGACCGAGCGACGCCGCGUGUGCGAUGAAGGCCUUCGGGUUGUAAAGCACUGUCGAGGGGGAGGAAAGCCCGCAAGGGUCUGACCUAUCCCUGGAGGAAGCACGGGCUAAGUUCGUGCCAGCAGCCGCGGUAAGACGAACCGUGCGAACGUUGUUCGGAUUCACUGGGCUUAAAGGGCGCGUAGGCGGGCUUGCCAGUCAGGGGUGAAAUCCUCCGGCUCAACCGGAGCAGGGCCUUUGAUACUGCAAGUCUUGAGGGAGGUAGGGGCAUGUGGAACUUCCGGUGGAGCGGUGAAAUGCGUAGAUAUCGGAAGGAACGCCGGUGGCGAAAGCGACGUGCUGGACCUCUUCUGACGCUGAGGCGCGAAAGCCAGGGGAGCAAACGGGAUUAGAUACCCCGGUAGUCC